ensembl:lncRNA novel transcript
AAACACCCAACCGCGCAGCCCACGCUGCGGGGCCACGACUUGGCCGGAUUUAUGUUCAUGGCUGAGGAUGCCAUGGGCCGAGUAAGAAGGAGAACCGCCACCCAACCACGCAGCCAAGAGCAACCCAGGGAUCCCUCCUCUGCUUGCUCCCCUCCCCCACCCCUGCUGUACCUUCUGCGCAGCCAUCUCGGUAACGGGCGUCAGGGGCGCUCGGCGGCCUGCUGUCCAAGCUGGGGUCAGGAGCCUGGCGGUAGCAAAGAGCAUCACCGAAAGGAAGCUGGUAGGCUAGCGAGGCCAGCCCCAAAGACCCACAGAUACACGCGCUGCUCCGAACUCGCGGGCCCGCGGCGUCCACUAAUGAGAUGAACCUGGGCGCGCAGCGGCUGGACCUCAGCUGCUAGGGCGCCGCCAAGGCCCUGCUGGACACCUUCUGGUACCUGGGCCUCGUGUAUUACACCUGUGGCUGCCGCCGAGGCGCGGUUCAAUUUGAAGUCUGAGCCCCUACAGGCCCGUGAAUCCUGGAUUACAACUGCAGUUUGUGCAAGAAGCAGCAGCACCUGCACUUCCACUUAGCAACCUCCGGCUUCACGCUCCUCCAGGGCGCAGAGAGCAUCAAAGCAUUAUCACCGACCCAACACACACCGGCGCUGCGUAGUUUCUGCAGCAGGUGUGGGGUGAAGAGUUGCCACACAGCUGUCUGACACCGGGUGUACGGCGUCACCCCUCACUUCCUGGACAAGGCAACAUUUUCCUAAAGGCACCUGGAGACAUUGAGUACUGCCAAUGGACUGCUGAACCAAACGAAGAGCUUUUCUGCAACAUUCAUGUUGCAGAGGAGAUGGGAACUGCCACUCAGCUGCUGCCACUCAGCUACUAAAUCUGAAAUAGUUAUUCAGCAAUACAAAAAUGGUAUUGCGGGGUUCUGGGGCAGCCCCUUUGGCUCAAAUGCCAGAGCUUUCUGCUAUACCUACUGAGUUUCAGUAGAUUUUAUUGAAUAAAAGUUUCUCAAUUCAUUACAAGCCCUUCGAUCAAUCUCCAAAGACUUUGUCUAGUUUCAAAUAUGUUUUUCUAGGGGAAAGGAUUUGCCAAGCUCCUCACACUACCAUUCCAGAAGUCCUAACCCUGAACUAUGUUUGCAACUUCUUGUGAAUCCUAAAUUAUUUUAAAAUAAAGAGUAUAAGAAAUAAAAA